AGAAAACGUGUUCACAAGAUUCAACUUAAAAUGCGUAUAUUGUAUUAACAUUACACUCAACUUUAAGAUACUCAUAGGGUAAAACUUUACUUGAAUGAGCAGUUUGACGGAAAAAGAUUUAAUUUUCCUUCAUGGCUGAGGAGGAAAAGGAGGAAUCCGCCCGAGGAGGGGCUCGCGUCUGAUUAGCUAGUUGGUGAGGGAAUAGCUUACCAAGGUGAUGAUCAGUAGCUGGUCCGAGAGAAUGAUCAGUCACACUAGGACUGAGACACGACCCAGACUUCUACGGGAGGCAGCAGUGGGGAAUUUUCCGCAAUGGAUGAAACCCUGACGGAGCAAUGCCUUGUGAAAGUAGAAGGCCUACGGGUCAUGAACUUCUUUUCCCGAAGAAGAAGCAAUGACGGUAUCCGGAGAAUAAGCAUCGGCUAACUCUUUGUAUUAAGAAAUGACUU
rnacentral:ncRNA from 1 species